GUAGGGCAAUCUGUCUUUAAGUAGGGAUAAAUUGCUCUUGAACAAAAUGAUCCUAGAUAGUUUUCCCUUCAAGUCAAGCAUCUUGU
rfam:Rattus norvegicus chromosome 5, whole genome shotgun sequence.